rnacentral:lncRNA from 1 species
CGCAGGUAAAACGCAGUGGGUCAUUGAAACGCUCUUUUCCUUUUAACAAGGCAACGAAUCUUACAUUUUUGCUCCUUGUCUUCUCCGAUAAGAUUACGGCCGGUGGCGUGGCGUUCUUUGCGAUAAAUCGAUCGAUCUGCCAUUUAAACCUAUGGAGAAGGAUCGAUAAACAGGGUGAUCGCAACAAACACCAUCAUAAUCGAUUCUUUACCACAGCUUCAAAUGGGGAAAUAUCAAUAAUCGAUCAUUCACGCCUCGCCACCGAUUGCGGUAUCCAAUAUGACUCCCAUCCGUGCAAAGCGCAUCCUAAAUAAAUGACCCGCAUAAAAUCUGCACAAAAAAACGACCGACCAUUUUUUUAAAAAUUUGUAACUGGAGGCUCAUCUUAUUUAUCUGCCACAGCUCUCGAUGAUAGCCUGGUCCAUAUUCAAGGAACUAAAUCGAUUUCUAAUUAUAAAAUCGCGACUUGACGCCUACCAAAGCAACGACAAAAAUAUUCGGAAGUCAAGAGUUUAUCGUGCCGCCGCAAUUAACAGAUGCAAAAGUAGUAAUUAACCAAUUCUUUUUCGGCCAAUUUUCGGUCUUGCCCUUGCGGAUAUUGCAUGACCCAAAAGAUAAAUGUGCAGCAUAAAAAGCACCGAAAAGAGGUAUAGGAACCACUUGCCUUACAUUCUGUUGGCAAAUAAUAUAGUAUUUUCCCGAUUGAUUCACAGCAGCCGAACUGCGCUGCCAUCUACUGGACCCGACAGUUCCUACAUUCUAGUCAUUUUUCAGCGGCUAAAAUUCAGCUGAAAAUGUUGUUCUUGCUCGUUGUGGCCACUGCCCUGGUGGGCGCGAACGCAAAUACCACAACCCCGCCCACCACCACACCACCACCACCACCACCAAUGGAGUCGAACCUAACAUCGCUGCUCUGGACAGUUUGAACGCCAUAGAAUCCGAUCCUUAUGCCAGCGUUGAAAUGAUUGACAACGCCACGACCAUCAGUCACUUCAUGGUGACCCCAACCAGUUCCAACUGCAAGAAUUUAGACUUUAACUGGCACAUCUCGGAAGUUCAGGGCACAGUCGAGUUCCACGGAGAAUUCUGCAUGCCUUCAACGGACAGCUGGUCCCUGGCAACCAACGUGAAACUCAAGAUCCUCGGGUACUCCCUGCUCAACGACAAGUACCACUUCAGCCCCCAGUACUCGGAGGUGAGGAAGAAGAUCAACCUCCUGGCAGCCAAGAUCGACGUGACCCUUGGCGUCUACAACUACUGCAUCCGGAUCGUGGGUAACGCCUGCUACUGGGCCGGCAAGUACCGAUGCGCCGACAUCUACGAGCAGCCGUACUGCUUCAAGAAGAACUUGAUCAAGAAGUCCACCUACACCGGCGCUGUCAACUAUAACGAUGUCCUCCAACCGAGCCUUUCCAACUACGCCGCAGCACCAUCCUGGCCGUCGGUGGUGACGACUGCCCGGCUCGCCUCAAGAAGAUCGCCGCCCUGGCCAAUCUUUAAGCUCGACUCAGGAGUAACUGAGGAGAACCAAUGGAUUCGGUGCGAAUCCAUUUAAGAGGAAAUUCUGAGUUCACACCAGCAGAGGCAAUUCGGAAAAGUGUACCGAAAAAAAAGUGGAGAUGAUUUAACAUUCUGGAUGUAAAAAAAGUGUGCGAGAACUUAAAACAUGCAGAAUUACCCACCAUGGCAGUUACUUUUACAUAUUUUUUUUUCAUAUUUAAAUUCGAUUUAUUACAUAAGAAUAUAAUUACAUCCAGGGGUGUCACUACAUAGAAGAGUAUAUCCCUCUGAUUUACUCCGUAACUGAGUUACUAAUUCUUAUAAUCUAGAAAUCUAAAUUACGUACAGUGAUAAAUUAUCGUAAGAUGAAGUUGAUUAAUUAAAAGAGAAUACUGGGAUGGGUGUCUUUACUGUACUAUUUAAAGACUAUUUCUUAGAUCUAGAAAAACCCGUCUGAACAGGAAGAAACUUUUACAUCUUAGUAUUGCUAAAGUAACUACUGUAGCAGGCUGUUCAGCAUUUUGUAAGUUCUCGCACACUUUUUCUACAUCCAGAAUGUUAAAUAAACUUCCUUUUUUUCGAUGUGGACAGUACCAAGGCCGGUCUGCCAGGGGUGCCAGGGUGCUUCAGCACUCCAGAAAUUCCUACGGAUAGUGAAUCGAGGGGCCCCGGCAGGACUCCUGGAGGGGCCCUCAAAAUGUUGCAAAAUCCCCUUGAAGGAGGACUGUAGGUUAAAUACAGCGGGGGGCUCACCCGAGAGGAGGGGCCUCGAAGACGUAUCAGCACCCUGGUGGCGAUUCUUGAAAGUUGGCAACACUGUUUUUUCUCCAUUUAAAUGUAUGUUAAACAAUCGAUUUUUGGUGACAUCACCUGGAAUCGAUAUUUUCAAUGGAUUUAAAUAGAGGAAAAACAGUGUUACCAACUUUCAAAAUCUCCACUGCACCAAUUCAAGAAUUUUCGCGCCAGGCCCAAACUGAACAACACUGUUUUUACAUUUAAAGUCAUUAACACCUAGAUUCGAAAUGAAGAAUCCUGCCUCAAUUGAAUAGAACAAUGCUGUCAACUUUCAAGAAUUGCCUCUAACCACCAAAAAUUAUAUAAUCUUUUAUUCAAUAAAUGAUUUUCCUCGAAGAUGUUUCUUUUCAUUGCAUUUUUCCGUUUCUUGAAAACAAAGUUAGGCAAAAUAAACGUGGGUAACAUUUCGUUGAAGAAAAAGGUGAAAUUUGUUACCUUCCAAAAUAUUUUCGGUUCAAUUCAAAUACACCAAGAAAGCAUUCGUUACACAUUCGAAUUUCCUUUUUUCCGGCUGGAUUCUCAAUCCGUUGUUUCCUAGACGAAGAAACGUAACUCGACGUACUCCAGAGAUACAAAAUCGACUAAAACUAUUAAAGUUUUUA